UUUAACAUGAGAGUUUGAUCCUGGCUCAGGAUGAACGCUGGCGGCGUGCUUAACACAUGCAAGUCGAACGAAGCGAUUUGGCGGAAGUUUUCGGAUGGAAGCUAGAUUGACUGAGUGGCGGACGGGUGAGUAACGCGUGGGUAACCUGCCUCACACUGGGGGACAACAGUUAGAAAUGACUGCUAAUACCGCAUAAGCGCACAGGACCGCAUGG
rnacentral:rRNA from 1 species